rnacentral:lncRNA from 1 species
GCCAAAUAUGUCAGAAUCUCAUCAUUGAUAAUCAUGCCCGAAUCUUCUUAUUGAUAAUCAUGACCGAAGCUCCGUAUUGACAAUUAUGACCGAAAAUCCUUCUCGAUAUCAUACAACGCAGUUUUGUAUUGAUUAGUUUUAUUAUUUUGUCAUUUCUAACUGCCUAUAUGUAAUACCAACAUCUUCAUUACUUAAAUUGAAAGUCUCAUAUUAAUUUUGUCAUUAGGUUGUUGUCUCGUAUAUAUAUGUGUAACGCAUUUCACACACAUUUUCUAUUAUUCAUAUGAAACUGUCCUUAGAUCAACUUUGUAGAUGAAUUGCUGUCUCAAAACUGUAAUUUGUGGUAAUCUAUACCAACGAAAUUCACUAAAACGUGUACCCCACGAAUAAUAAUGAAUCCUUAGAAGUUUAAUUUUUCUGUAUAAUCUCGAUAAGAUGUCGUCGAGUCUCGGGUCCAAUACAGCUAACCUCAAAUCUAUAACAGGGCCAAUACAGAAAUUGUUAGUUAAUAACACUAUAAAAUAAUUUUAAACAGAUCUUAAUUAGAUCACAAAAAUUUAUAUAAUUUAAUUAAAAUAAUAUUUGUAAUCGAGAUCAAGAAAAUGUUGAAUAAGGUUGAAAAAGUCACCCGUCAUGUCUUAUUAUUUAACAUCAUACAGAAAGGCUUUAUUGGAUAUAUUUGAAACUAACAAUUCAUUGGUAGACGUGUCAUAAUGCAGAGCCAUUGGGAAGCUCAGUCCAUCUUCACUUGAUAAGAGUUGUCUGUAGUGUUGUCCAUCAGCAGAGAUAACAACCACAUUGUUAGUAUCUAUCCCUGCUACAUAUACGUUACCAUCAUCGUCCACAGAGACACCUAUGGAGAGCGCACAACACUUUUAUCACAGAACGUCCACAGUAUGUGACCAUGGUAAUCACAGCAGGUUACGCUGCUAUUGUAAUCUGUGUAGAACAAUUUGUCACCGAAUGUUGUAACGUACGCAGAAACUGAAAGAUUGGUAUUGUUAACAUUGGUAAUUGUUUCGUCAUUCAGACUGAUCAUCUGUAUUCCUUUCUCUCUGGCACAAUAUAUUAAAUAUCCAUCUUUGUAUGCUACUCCACCAUUAUAUGAAUCAACUUUUAUUGAUUUCGUCUUUGAUUUCUUCUUUAAGUCGAUUAUAUUAAUCUGAUUUGAUUCACCGGAAGUUACAGCAAUAGAAUCAUCACCAAUAAAUACCACAUCAAACGUUCGACUAAUGUUCUUUAUCUCAAAAUCUUUUGAUCCGUCAGACUUUAGUACUGUCAAUUUAUUGUC